AGUGAACAGGGAAGAGCCCAGCACCGAAGCCUGUGGUUAUUUGAUCACCAGGCAAUGUGGUGUUUAGGUCGUUCCGCAGAGGCACUGCUCCACCCUAAGUCCAACAAUGAGUACGGUGUUAUGGACAUGGCCCAUUGAGGGUGAAAGGCCCGUGGGGGUGGAGAUCAGGUGUGCCAGUGCUACUCUGGGGAGACCUUUGAGUCGGGUUGUUUGUGAAUGCAGCCCAAAGCGGGUGGUAGACUCCAUCCAAGGCUAAAUACAACACGAGUCCGAUAGCGAACAAGUACCGUGAGGGAAAGUUGAAAAGUACUCUGAAGAGAGAGUAAACAGUGCGUGAAGCCGCUCAGAGGUAAACGGAUGGAGUUGAACUGUGAGUUCCGAGGGUUCAGCUGGUAACUUUAAUUGAGCUGGGUCAAAUUUGUUGGGCUGUGAGGUAUACGAUUCGUAUGUCCACUCGCUUAGAGUGGGUGCGUGAUUCUCUCUUUUUGAGUUGAUGUGCGCCUCUGUCCCCCCCGAACAUAAUUACCAGUGCACUCCCUCGGGACGGUCACCACGACCGGCAUUAUCGUCUGUCUAUUGCGGUCAAACCGGGCGUGCUUAGUCCUUGUGGCUUUGUGCGUUCGGGAUGGCA
rnacentral:rRNA from 1 species